CUCUUCUGCUCGCCCUCUCUUCUCGGGGACUGGGACGAUGCGGGCUCUUGGAAGGCCCCCUUCCGUCCCGUGGAUCUGCUCCCCCUCCUCCCCCACAGGGCGGCGUGGCCCGUCCUCCGCUCCCUCCGCAGCGCCGUUGACCUCCUCCCCACCUUCGUGGGUGCGGCCUCCUCCGCCGAGGAUGACCUCGAGUGGAAAGGCGCGUGCUUUUACAAGACCACCGCGUGGAUGGAGUUCCACAACAAGAGCCAGUCCC
rnacentral:lncRNA from 1 species